UGCAAAAGAAUGUGUGUUUUCCAGAAUAUUGAUGAGCUGUCUUACGAGACCUAAAAUUGUAGAGAAGUCUAACACUGGACUGCGGGAACAAGAGGUAAAGAAAUUGUGAAGGAGUUACUCUGAUACGCAUUAGACAUUAAUAUGCACAUUUGAAUGAGGAGUCAGGUUCCACGUUAUAAUAAAAACCACUUGUAAAGAAUUUUCUCCUGAAUUCAAAUCUUUAAAACGGCCACAACAGAUUACAUUAUUUUUUAAGGAAGGCUAGUGGGCACGGACACAAUCAGUGGUGAAUUUGAAGACUGCAGAGCUGCUGUGAACCUGGGUCCCUGAAUUAAUACAUGGAUAAAAAUACCAUGCCAGUACAUUCGCCUUUCCAGUAAUGGUGUGUGAAGAACAAAAUAAUCUAAAGUAUUUGGAUCACUUGGAGGAUUUUAUUUCAUCUUGAAAAACUGCACAUAGUGGAGAGUUUCUUCACUUUAUUCCUUCAGUCUUAACAUACCCUACUGAGUAA